GUGCAGCAGGCGCGAAUACUCCGCAAUGCGGGCAACCGCGACGGGGCUACCCCGAGUGCCGCCCGAAGAGGGUGGCUUUUGCCCGGUCUAAAAAGCCGGGCGAAUAAGCGGGGGGCAAGCUUGGUGUCAGCCGCCGCGGUAAUACCAACCCCGCGAGUGGUCGGGACGUUUAUUGGGCCUAAAGCGCCCGUAGCCGGCCCGGCAAGUCGCUCCUGAAAUCCCCGGGCUCAACCCGGGGGCGGGGGGCGAUACUGCCGGGCUAGGGGGCGGGAGAGGCCGCCGGUACUCCGGGGGUAGGGGCGAAAUCCGUUAAUCCCCGGAGGACCACCAGUGGCGAAGGCGCCCGGCUAGCACGCGCCCGACGGUGAGGGACGAAAGCUGGGGGAGCAAAGGGGAUUAGAUACCCCCGUAGUCCCAGCUGUAAACGAUGCGGGCUAGGUGUUGGACGGGCUUCGAGCCCGUCCAGUGCCGUAGGGAAGCCGUUAAGCCCGCCGCCUGGGGAGUACGGCCGCAAGGCUGAAACUUAAAGGAAUUGGCGGGGGAGCAC
rnacentral:rRNA from 1 species